GGCUAACUCCGUGCCAGCAGCCGCGGUAUACGGGGGAUGCAAGCGUUAUCCGGAAUCAUUGGGCGUAAAGCGCCUGUAGGUUGUUUACUAAGUCUGUUGUUAAAGACUAGGGCUUAACCCUAGAAAAGCAAUGGAAACUUGUAGACUAGAGUAUGGCAGGGGUAGAGGGAAUUUCUAGUGUAGCGGUGAAAUGCGUAGAUAUUAGAAAGAACACCGGUGGCGAAAGCGCUCUACUGGACCAUUACUGACACUCAGAGGCGAAAGCUAGGGUAGCAAAAGGGAUUAGAUACCCCUGUAGUCCUAGCCGUAAACGAUGGAUACUAGAUGUUGUGUAUAACAGUAUCGUAGCUAACGCGUUAAGUAUCCCGCCUGGGGAGUACGCUCGCAAGGGUGAAACUCAAAGGAAUUGACGGGGGCCCGCACAAGCGGUGGAGCAUGUGGUUUAAUUCGAUGCAACGCGAAGAACCUUACCAGGGCUUGACAUACUACGAAUUCUCUUGAAAAAGAGAAGUGCCUUCGGGAAUGUAGAUACAGGUGGUGCAUGGCUGUCGUCAGCUCGUGUCGUGAGAUGUUGGGUUAAGUCCCGCAACGAGCGCAACCCUUAUUUUUAGUUACCAAUUCGUUGGGUUUUUUAGAAAGACUGCCGGUGACAAACCGGAGGAAGGUGAGGAUGACGUCAAGUCAGCAUGCCCCUUAUGUCCUGGGCCACACACGUGCUACAAUGGUUAAGACAAAGAGUCGCGAGCUCGUGAGAGCCAGCUAAUCUAAUAAACUUAGCCUAAGUYCWGAUUGUAGGCUGCCACUCCCCCCC
rnacentral:rRNA from 1 species